GAGUUCCUGCUUAACCCUCAAAGUGAAGUGUCGUCUCAUUAUUGGGGGAAGGAUUUAUUGUAUGCUGUUCCAGUUUGACUGCUAGGAGAGUAAACCUAUUCGUAUGGUUCAUAUUCAACUGUCUACAGCAUUCAUAUGCUUGAGAGGAUUCAUAUGCUUCUCCGGUUCGGUGGUUGUGGUGUCUGCUGCAGUGCUUGGAGUCCUC